rnacentral:rRNA from 1 species
CUACGGGAUGCUGCAGUGAGGAAUUUUGCGCAAUGGGGGAAACCCUGACGCAGCAACGCCGCGUGAGUGAAGAAGGCCUUUGGGUCGUAAAGCUCUGUCAACAGGGAAGAAGUUACAAUUGUUUAAUAAAUGAUUGUAUUGACGGUACCUGUGGAGGAAGCGCCGGCUAACUCCGUGCCAGCAGCCGCGGUAACACGGGGGGCGCAAGCGUUAUUCGGAAUUAUUGGGCGUAAAGGGCGCGCAGGCGGUCUUGUCCGUCAGGUGUGAAAGCUCGGGGCUCAACCCCGGAAGUGCACUUGAAACAGCAAGACUUGAAUACGGGAGAGGAAAGCGGAAUUCCUGGUGUAGAGGUGAAAUUCGUAGAUAUCAGGAGGAACACCGAUGGCGAAGGCAGCUUUCUGGACCGAUAUUGACGCUGAGGCGCGAAGGCGUGGGGAGCGAACGGGAUUAGAUACCCGAGUAGUC